rnacentral:rRNA from 1 species
GAUGAACGCUGGCGGCGUGCCUAAUACAUGCCAGUCGAGCGAACAGACGAGGAGCUUGCUCCUCUGACGUUAGCGGCGGACGGGUGAGUAACACGUGGAUAACCUACCUAUAAGACUGGGAUAACUUCGGGAAACCGGAGCUAAUACCGGAUAAUAUAUUGAACCGCAUGGUUCAAUAGUGAAAGACGGUUUUGCUGUCACUUAUAGAUGGAUCCGCGCCGCAUUAGCUAGUUGGUAAGGUGACGGCUUACCAAGGCGACGAUGCGUAGCCGACCUGAGAGGGUGAUCGGCCACACUGGAACUGAGACACGGUCCAGACUCCUACGGGAGGCAGCAGUAGGGAAUCUUCCGCAAUGGGCGAAAGCCUGACGGAGCAACGCCGCGUGAGUGAUGAAGGUCUUCGGAUCGUAAAACUCUGUUAUUAGGGAAGAACAAAUGUGUAAGUAACUAUGCACGUCUUGACGGUACCUAAUCAGAAAGCCACGGCUAACUACGUG